GACAGAGGGGGCAAGCGUUGCUCGGAAUUACUGGGCGUAAAGGGCGCGUAGGCGGGAUGGCAAGUCGGUCGUGAAAUCCCUCGGCUCAACUGAGGAGCGUCGAUCGAUACUGCCGUUCUUGAGGGAUGCAGAGGAGACUGGAAUUCCCGGUGUAGCGGUGAAAUGUGUAGAGAUCGGGAGGAACACCGGUGGCGAAGGCGGCGCACUGGACCAUUACUGACGCUGAGAGCGCGAAAGCUAGGGGAGCAAACAGG
rnacentral:rRNA from 1 species